rnacentral:rRNA from 1 species
UGUUAAGUUAGUGGCGGACGGGUGAGUAACGCGUGGGUAACCUGCCGUAUACCGGGGGAUAACACCUGGAAACAGGUGCUAAUACCGCAUAAGCGCACGGGACCGCAUGGUCCAGUGUGAAAAACCGAGGUGGUAUGCGAUGGACCCGCGUCUGAUUAGCCAGUUGGCAGGGUAACGGCCUACCAAAGCGACGAUCGGUAGCCGGCCUGAGAGGGUGGACGGCCACAUUGGGACUGAGACACGGCCCAAACUCCUACGGGAGGCAGCAG